UACAGAGGGUGCAAGCGUUAUUCGGAUUCACUGGGCGUAAAGGGUGCGCAGGUGGCCAAGUGUGUUAGGCGUGAAAGCCCGGGGCUUAACCCCGGAAUUGCACCUAAAACUACAUGGCUAGAGCAUUGGAGAGGGGAGCAGAAUUCACGGUGUAGCAGUGAAAUGCGUAGAUAUUGUGAGGAAUACCAGAGGCGAAGGCGGCUCCCUGGACAAUUGCUGACACUCAGGCACGAAAGCGUGGGGAGCAAACAGG
rnacentral:rRNA from 1 species